CCUACGGGAGGCUGCAGUGGGGAAUCUUGCGCAAUGGGCGAAAGCCUGACGCAGCAACGCCGCGUGCGGGAUGAAGGCCUUCGGGUUGUAAACCGCUUUCAGCAGGGACGAAAAUGACGGUACCUGCAGAAGAAGCCCCGGCUAACUACGUGCCAGCAGCCGCGGUAAUACGUAGGGGGCAAGCGUUGUCCGGAUUUAUUGGGCGUAAAGAGCUCGUAGGCGGUUCCGUAAGUCGAGUGUGAAAAAUCUGGGCUCAACCCAGUGGAGCACUCGAUACUGCGGUGACUAGAGUACGGUAGAGGAGUGUGGAAUUCCUGGUGUAGCGGUGAAAUGCGCAGAUAUCAGGAGGAACACCAACGGCGAAGGCAGCACUCUGGGCCGGUACUGACGCUGAGGAGCGAAAGCGUGGGGAGCAAACAGGAUUAGAUACCCCUGUAGUC
rnacentral:rRNA from 1 species